rnacentral:piRNA from 1 species
GAGGACUUUAGCCACUGGGUGUUCACAG